UGGGGAAUAUUGGACAAUGGAGGAAACUCUGAUCCAGCGACUCCGCGUGGAGGAUGACGCAUUAAGGUGUGUAAACUCCUUCUUUGGAGGAAGACGACUGACGGUACUCCAAGAAUAAGCGACGGCUAACUACGUGCAGCAGCCGCGGUAAUACAGAGGGUGCAAGCGUUAAUCGGAUUUACUGGGCGUAAAGCGUGCGUAGGUGGUCUUUUAAGUCGGAUGUGAAAUCCCUGAGCUUAACUUAGGAAUU
rnacentral:rRNA from 1 species